rnacentral:snRNA from 1 species
GUGCUCACUUUGGCAGCACAUAUAUUAAAUUGAAAUGGUACAGAGAAUAUUAGUAUGGCCCCUUGCAAGGAUGACACACAAAUUCAUAAAGCAUUCCAUAUUUUA